UUUUACCCCCAUUCAAGUUAGCGGAUGUCUAAACCGGAAGUUAGCCUUCUCGGCCAGCAAAGGUCACCACAGUGGACGCUGUACCGCUACCACCAACUAGCGUUUGGCGGUGCAGAACGACGGAGACACUGAAACAGAAGUAUAAAUUGCGCUUAACAUAUCAUGGUACCACCAUAUUGUUACGCACAUGCGGUUAAGUGCAAGUGUGGGAGAUAGUGUGACAUACAAGAAAUGUGUAGAAAGAUUGUGUAUGUGUAUUUCAUGCUAGUGUUAAAAUAAAUGUUAUAUAGAUAUAAUUUUUUUGUAAUUAUUUAAUAUGUUAAUAUGAGAGUGACUGCAGAGGUAUCGGAGUAAAGUGAAUGUGUGUUUUGAGUUAUAUUACUUUGUUACAUAUUAGUAUUUUGACUUAUGUCAAUUUCGGUAUGUGGAAUAUCUGUUAAACUAUUUUGAUAUGAUGUGCUUAUUUUGCGUAAGGUAGAAUGUUUUAUAUAUUGUAUAUUGUCAGUUUGGUUACAUCAUUUUGUUGUUUAUUUGUGAAAUGUUUAGUGUUAGUUUAACAGGCACUUUAAGCAGAGAUUUAAAGAUAAUGUGACUAGGCCUUUAUGUGAUUGUAGUCAGAAAUAAACAAGCUCUGGCUUGAGCACGACGCUAACUUUGGUCCUCUCUCUAUCACUCCUCAGUGGCAACAUAGUGCUUCCUAGCCUGUUUAACCUGCCGGUCCAGAUUCUAGGUCUGAGCCAGACCUAGGGGGAAUGCAGUCCACUAACACCAUAAAAUGUCUCCCAGCACAACAAAAACUCAGACGAUGUUGGGUCAACAUAAGGAAAGGCUGUAGUCACGGAGAGACCUCCACUUUGUUUUGAAACUGACAAAACCGACAGAGUUGGCUUUCAUCCUAUUGGACAGGACGAGUCUCAAGUAGAGUCUGAAGUCACUGUCAGAAGCCAUCUCUGGAUUGGGACAAUUUGGCGGUACAUACUGCAGCCUGGUUGAACAGGGAAACUUUCAUGCACCAGCGGAUGAGGACCCAGAAUGAGGACAUAUGAAGAUAAAUAGGCUUGACUGUUGAGUGUACAUGUAUCUGUUUAGCCUGUGAUUUAUCCACCCCAAAUGUUCAACUAGAUUUUGUUUGAGACAUUUCUGAUAAUCAUAAACAUAAUCAUGCUAAUGAGUUAAAAUGUUCCUUUAAUACGCCCCAAAUACUAGAACCAAAUCUACAAAAGUCUUGGUAAUGACUGAAAAGUCAUGUGAAAUGCAGCCUGACCCAGAGGAGUACUUUGUCUCAUGUACUGCUGCACAUGAGGAACAAGUGGCAGAAUGAGCUUGUGCUGCUGACAGAUGUAUUGCCUUUGGCUCUGAGCCCACAGCUUCCUACUAUGUUCCCGCUUGGUAGUAAUCACUCCGAAAUAGUUGAGUGACUUCCAGUAGAAA